AGAUUAAGUUAUUAAGGGCGCACGGUGGAUGCCUUGGCACUAGAAGCCGAUGAAGGACGUUACUAACGACGAUAUGCUUUGGGGAGCUGUAAGUAAGCUUUGAUCCAGAGAUUUCCGAAUGGGGAAACCCAGCAUGAGUUAUGUCAUGUUAUCGAUAUGUGAAUACAUAGCAUAUCAGAAGGCACACCCGGAGAACUGAAACAUCUUAGUACCCGGAGGAAGAGAAAGAAAAUUCGAUUCCCUUAGUAGCGGCGAGCGAAACGGGAAGAGCCCAAACCAACAAGCUUGCUUGUUGGGGUUGUAGGACCCUCUAUACGGAGUUACAAAGGACGACAUUAGACGAAUCAUCUGGAAAGAUGAAUCAAAGAAGGUAAUA
rnacentral:rRNA from 1 species